rnacentral:rRNA from 1 species
AGUGAACGCUGGCGGUAGGCCUAACACAUGCAAGUCGAACGGCAGCACAGUAAGAGCUUGCUCUUACGGGUGGCGAGUGGCGGACGGGUGAGGAAUACAUCGGAAUCUACUUUUUCGUGGGGGAUAACGUAGGGAAACUUACGCUAAUACCGCAUACGACCUACGGGUGAAAGCAGGGGAUCUUCGGACCUUGCGCGAUUGAAUGAGCCGAUGUCGGAUUAGCUAGUUGGCGGGGUAAAGGCCCACCAAGGCGACGAUCCGUAGCUGGUCUGAGAGGAUGAUCGGCCACACUGGAACUGGAACACGGUCCAUACUCCUACGGGAGGCAGCAGUGGGGAAUAUUGGACAAUGGGCGCAAGCCUGAUCCAGCCAUACCGCGUGGGUGAAGAAGGCCUUCGGGUUGUAAAGCCCUUUUGUUGGGAAAGAAAAGCAGCAGGUUAAUACCCCGCUGUUCUGACGGUACCCAAAGAAUAAGCACCGGCUAACUUCGUG